rnacentral:rRNA from 1 species
GGAGGAAAAGAAACUAACCAGGAUUCCCUCAGUAACGGCGAGUGAACAGGGAUUAGCCCAGCACCGAAGCCCGUGUCCAUUUGGAUGCAGGGCAGUGUGGUGUGUAGGUGGGUGCGUUUGUGUGCUGCUCCUUCCCAAGUCCAAGCUUGAAUAUGGCCCUUGAUGAGGCCCAGAGAGGGUGAAAGGCCCGUGGGGAGUGGAGUGGUGCGUGAGUGCGCCUGCCGUGGAGUCGGGUUGUUUGUGAAUGCAGCCCAAAGUUGGUGGUAAACUCCAUCUAAGGCUAAAUACUGGCACGAGUCCGAUAGCGAACAAGUACCGUGAGGGAAAGUUGAAAAGUACUCUGAAGAGAGAGUAAACAGUGCGUGAAACCGCUUGGAGGUAAACGGGUGUAGUCAAGCUGCAAGCGACGAGCAUUCAACCGAUGAGUAUGGCGCGAGCCUGGGCACAUUGAGUGGUUUGAAGGGACCGUCAGUUUUGGCGGACAGUACUUCCUUUUCGGGGGAGGUGUUGUGUCAGGGCGUUGUUGUGACGUCGGGCGCUCUUCUCUCCAUGCUCAGCUUAUCGGUGCAUUUGCUUGUUGCGUGAGCCACGAGCGUCGUUGCUGUCGGUCUGCUCUGGUUAAACCUGGUGGGCUGGGCCUUGUGCCUGUGUCUAUCGGGCCGGCAGGUAGCCUGAUGUGUGUUGCUGAGCGGCCUUGUGCUGAGCAGUGUGCGCGCGUUAGGUGUAAUCAGCUGGCCAGAGUGGUAUCUGUAACUGUGCAGUGCGGCGGAGAUUGCGGCCCGGUGUGGCAUGGCGUGCUAAAGCGUACCGGCGUGGUUCAGGUGAGGCUGCAUGUUGCUGAUUAAGUUCGGCCUUGCGGUGGCUUGGCUGCGGUUUGGUGUGCGGCGGCGUCUGCUCAUCCCAUGCGUGGUGCCUACAGU